GCAUAUCAAUAAGCGGAGGAAAAGAAAAUAACAAUGAUUCCUCUAGUAACUGCGAGUGAAGAGGGAAAAGCUCAAAUUUUAAAUCUGUUAGGUUUACCUAACCGAGUUGUAAUUUGAAGAAGCGUUUUCUGCGAUUUUGGUUAGUCCAAAUCCUUUGGAAUAAGGUAUCAUGGAGGGUGAGAAUCCCGUUCGGUUAACCAAAGCGCUUUACGAUACGCUUUCAAAGAGUCAAGUUGUUUGGGAUUGCAGCUUAAAAUGGGAGGUAAAUUUCUCCUAAGGCUAAAUAUUGGCGAGAGACCGAUAGCGAACAAGUACCGUGAGGGAAAGAUGAAAAGAACUUUGAAAAGAGAGUUAAACAGUACGUGAAAUUGUUGAAAGGGAAACGAUUAAAGUCAGUCGUACCUACGAGUAAUCAACCUACUCGAGUGCGAUUUUGUGGGUAUGUUAGAGCUUAAAAACCUUCAUGCUUACAAAUUGGUGCUCUUUGGGCGUACUUUCUCGUAUGGUAGGUUAACAUCAAUUUCGAUCGUUAUAAAAUGACUGGAGGAAUGUAGCUUCGAUCUCGGUUGAAGUGUUAUAGCCUUUGGUAGAUGUAAUGAUUGGGAUUGAGGAUUGCAACGGAUACCCUCUGGGCUAUUCGUCUGAUCUCUGGAAGUUACCUUGGUGUCGAAAGCGUGCUUACGAUAUUAAGGUUGACGGCCAAUAGGUUAGAACGUGAUUAAAUUCGUUAAGGAUGUUGACGUAAUGGCUUUAAACGAC
rnacentral:rRNA from 1 species